rnacentral:tRNA from 1 species
UAAAACAAAGCUUUUUUAGUUAAGCGUUUCACUUACGUUGAAAAGAAUUAUCGUGCAACUCGAUUUGUUUUAA